GAUGAACGCUGGCGGCGUGCUUAACACAUGCAAGUCGAACGGAAAGGCCCUGCUUUUGUUGGGUGCUCGAGUGGCGAACGGGUGAGUAACACGUGAGUAACCUGCCCUUGACUUUGGGAUAACUUUUGGAAACUGGGGCUAAUACCGGAUAGGAGCUCCUGCUGCAUGGUGGGGGUUGGAAAGUUUCGGCGGUGGGGGAUGGACUCGCGGCUUAUCAGCUUGUUGGUGGGGUAGUGGCUUACCAAGGCUUCGAAGGGUAGCCGGCCUGAGAGGGUGACCGGCCACAUUGGGACUGAGAUACGGCCCAGACUCCUACGGGACGCAGCAGUGGGAAAUAUUGCACAAUGGGCGGGAGCCUGAUGCAGAAGCGCCGCGUGCGGGAUGACGGCCUUCGGGUUGAAAACCGCUUUCGCCGGAGACGGAGCGUGAGUGACGGUAAUUGGUAAAGAAGCACCGGCUAACUACGUG
rnacentral:rRNA from 1 species